CUCGGUAAAAUGACCCCGUAACUUCGGGAGAAGGAGUGUUCUCCUUUCUUUUUAUUAGGAAAGCAACACACAUCAGGGGAUAGUGACUGUUUAUUAAAAAUAUAGGACUCUGCUAAGUGGUAACACGAUGUAUAGAGUGUGACACUUGCCAUGUCACGGCUCAAAAUUCACUAAG
rnacentral:ncRNA from 1 species